AGCUUAAAGAAAUUUAUUUUAAGUAAGUUCUGCCCAGCGUAAAAUUAUUAGCGGCCGCAGUACCUUGACUGUGCUAAGGUAGCAUAAUCAAUUGGCUUUUAAUUGAAGUCUGGAAUGAAAGGUUAAAUAAAAAAUUAACUGUCUCUUUUUUAAUUUCUAUGAAUUUAUUUAUUAAGUGAAAAUACUUUUUUAAAGAAAAAAGACGAGAAGACCCUUAGAAUUUUAAUUUCUUUUACUUUAUUGUAAACUUAUUUUUGUUGGGGCGACAUUGAAACAAAAUUUUGAACUUUCACAAUUUUUACGAGACAUUUAUUUUGAAUGAUCAAAUUACCUUAGGGAUAACAGCAUAAUGAAAUUAUUAGCUUGUGACCUCGAUGUUGGACUAGGAACUAAAAGACUAACCGUCAAAAUAGAGUGUUCUG
rnacentral:rRNA from 1 species